rnacentral:rRNA from 1 species
UACGGGGGGGGUAAGCGUUGUUCGGAAUUACUGGGCGUAAAGGGCUCGUAGGCGGCCAACUAAGUCAUACGUGAAAUCCCUCAGCUUAACUGGGGAACUGCAUGUGAUACUGGAUGGCUUGGAUUCGGGAGAGGGAUGCGGAAUUCCAGGUGUAGCGGUGAAAUGCGUAGAUAUCUGGAGGAACACCGGUGGCGAAGGCGGCAUCCUGGACCGAUAUUGACGCUGAGGAGCGAAAGCCAGGGGAGCAAACGGG